AUGUGUCAAGCGGAUGCUUCAGGAGUCAAACAUGUGCCGGGGGCAAGGAGGAAUCUAAUUUCGCUUGGAGUUCUUCAUGAGGGUGGUAUGGUAUUCCGUUGUCAUUGGGAUAAGAAGACCAUGAGAAUCAUGAAAGAUGAGGUAAUCGUGAUUGUUGAAGAGAGGACAGCUUCGCAUCUUUACAAGUUGCAAGGGAGCACUAUUGCAGGUGGAGUCACGGAGACUGGAGUUGUGGGAGUAGCAGCGAGGUCUCAAUAG
rnacentral:rRNA from 1 species